UUUUUAUUAUUCAUUUUUUUUAUUAUUGUUAAUAAUAAUAAUGAAUAUCAGAUCUUUUUGAUGAUGUUUGGUUUUUGAUUUGCAGAUGUUGGUUGUGAAUCUCUUUGCUUCAGUGGCGAUAAAUCAACAUUCAAUGAUGUCAUGUAAAGAUGAGGUGAUGAGUUUGAUAUUUUGUUUCUUAGAAUCUGUGUUUUGAGCAGUUUUAGUUUUCCAUGGGAAAAAAGAAUUUGGGGCGAAGAAUAUGUGUACCUGAAACCAGAUCAACUUUCUGUUUAUUCUUACAUUGGCAAUCAAAAUUCUUGCUUUUUCUAAUUUUGGGUUCAUCGUUACUGCCUUCAGCAGUAGCAUGACUUACUUUAUUUUAUUUUUCCCAAUUCUUAAUUUUUUUGUUUGUUUCCUACAUUUGCUGCCUUCAACAGUAGCAUGACUUAUUCUAUUUUUCUUUUCCCAAUUCAUAUUUUUUUUUUGUUUCCUCAUUAAUGCAUGAUGCAGUUUCUUUUCAACCAGAUUAUGGUAAGAAAUUUACGAAUAUCAAUCGAUAUUAUUUCCAAAAUUUAGUUUUUGGCUUCUUCAGAAGAUAAAUAUGGCUAUCAUAAAUUGAUAUUAUUUCCAAUAAAUCGUCUUUUAUUUAUUGAAUUUCCGGGCUUGGUCGAAUUCUAUACAAAGCACUUGCACAAAGAUUAUGGUGAUAUAUCCUCGCAGCGAAGGAUGAAGCGAUGAACUUUUAUCUUUCAUAGUUCACCGUUUUUCCUUAAACAUCUUCUAUUACCCAACCGUAGUUUUUUUUUUAUUCCUUUUAUUGUUUAGUAUUUUUGUUCAUUUUAAUUUAUAUUUGGUUUUGUUUUGCAGUUGAUCGUAAUCGUUCCUCAUAGUCAAUAUUGAAAUAAUAAAAUUAAAUCUGGACGUUUACUUUCGUACGAGUGUAUAGGUGAGGUACGUUGAAAAGUGUUUCAUGGGAAACUCGAAACUGUUUAUGGGAAUCCUGAUCAAUUUCCGCAAGAGGAAAUCAAUUAAACAAGUUAGGCUGUUGGAGCCGGUAACUCCGUUACAAGCAAGACUAAAUCGUUUGCGACGUAGGGUGUGAUAUUAGAGAGGAAAAAUAAGAGAACACGUGGAAUACGUCUCGGUGAGAUUGUCCGAAGGAGGAAUACAGUUAUAGGAGUAGUUCCGAGAUCGCCAAGGAUGGAUCCAAAAGAAGCAAGGGUAAACGUAGCAUGAAUAGAGAUGCAAUCAUGUGAAGAGAUACCAAAGAUUUGAUUUGGGUACAGGUUGAGUUUGUCUGUAAUUCCUAAAUUAAAUACACAAAACUUAUAUCUCAACGACGCCACGAUGAAGCGUCAGGCACGCGUGAGUAUCAUGCUUUUAUAUUGCAAGGAUAGUCAAAGGACGAACACUUAUCAGGGAUAGUCAUUUUUCCUUGAAAUAUGUAGUUGAUGCAGAAGGGAAUUUUCAUUUGGGAGUUGAUUAGAGAACUGACUUACGCAGGGUUUCCAACAAAGUUCAUUUGGAGCAAUAACCUGACACAGUGGAGUAGAAGAAAACAACAAAAUGAAUGAUAAGAAAAAAAACAAAACGAAAUGAAUUUGGUAGACUCGGUUGUUCAGGAACUUGAAUCCUCAUUGUGCUAGAUGCAUCUAUCUUAUCAAAAAAGAAAGAAUGUACAAUGCUCAUCAUACUGCAUGUAGUAGAAAGGUAUUUUCGUAUGCUGAACAUUUUCGAAGGACCACGUAGCCCUCUGGAAGACUUAUAGAGAAGCACGUAUUGUACUUGGAUUAUUCCACUGUGACAGUGACAUCAAAUACUAAAAAUGCGUCGGUUUGGAU